rnacentral:rRNA from 1 species
AGGUCCAGCCUGCCCAGUGACAUAGUUCAACGGCCGCGGUAUCCUAACCGCGCGAAGGUAGCAUAAUCACUUGUUCUUUAAAUAGGGACUUGUAUCAAUGGCACCACGAGGGUUGUACUGUCUCCUUUCCCCAAUCAGUGAAACUGAUCUCCCUGUGAAGAAGCAGGGAUAAGCCUAUAAGACGAGAAGACCCCAUGGAGCUUUAAACCAAACGGCAACUCAUUCACAAACUCCCCCAUAACUAAAGAGACGUGCCCGCAGGUUUUAGGUUGGGGCGACCGCGGAGUAAAAAUUACCCUCCACGACGAAAAGAACUAAACCUUUAUUCAAGAACCACCCCUCUAGAAAUUAGCACACUAACGUCAAAUGACCCGAUUAUCGAUCAACGAACCAAGUUACCCUGGGGAUAACAGCGCAAUUUACUUCAGAGGCCCCUAUAGACAAGUAGGCUUAGCA